AGAGAUUAGAAAAACACAGCAUCCAUCAAACAAACAUAAAUCCUGGUUAUUAUUUUUCUAGAAGAGUCCAGCAGCAGAGAGCAGACUCCCCUGGACCCAGCUGUGUCUCCAUGAAGAGUGACCACUCUAUGGCUCUACCUGUUAGGUUUCAGGAUGGAAAUCAAUCUGUUGAGAAGAGAAGAGUCCAGCAGCAGAGAGCAGACUCCCCUGGACCCAGCUGUGUCUCCAUGAAGAGUGACCACUCUAUGGCUCUACCUCUUAGGUUUAAAGACGGAAAUCAAUCUGUUGAGAAGAGCCCAGAGCAGCAGCAGAGAGCAGACUCCCCUGGACCCAGCUGUGUCUCCAUGAAGAGUGACCACUCUAUGGGUCUACCUGUUAGGUUUAACGAUGGAAAUCAACCUAUUAAGAAGAG
ensembl:lncRNA